UACGUAGGGUGCAAGCGUUGUCCGGAAUCAUUGGGCGUAAAGAGCGUGUAGGCGGCCACGCAGGUCCGUUGUGAAAACUGGAGGCUCAACCUUCAGACGUCGACCCAAACCCCCUGGCUAGAGUCCGGAAGAGGAGAGUGGAAUUCCUGGUGUAGCGGUGAAAUGCGCAGAUAUCAGGAAGAACACCCGUGGCGAAGGCGGCUCUCUGGGACGGUACUGACGCUGAGACGCGAAAGCGUGGGGAGCGAACAGG
rnacentral:rRNA from 1 species